rnacentral:rRNA from 1 species
UACGUAGGGGGCAAGCGUUGUCCGGAUUUAUUGGGCGUAAAGAGCGUGUAGGCGGCCUGACAGGUCUGCUGUGAAAACUCGAGGCUCAACCUCGAGAUGUCGGCGGAAACCGUCUGGCUAGAGUCCGGAAGAGGAGAGUGGAAUUCCUGGUGUAGCGGUGAAAUGCGCAGAUAUCAGGAAGAACACCUAUGGCGAAGGCAGCUCUCUGGGACGGUACUGACGCUGAGACGCGAAAGCGGGGGGAGCGAACAGG